rnacentral:rRNA from 1 species
GACAGAGGGGGCAAGCGUUGCUCGGAAUUACUGGGCGUUAAGGGCGCGUAGGCGGGAUGGCAAGUCGGUCGUGAAAUCCCUCGGCUCAACCGAGGAACGUCGAUCGAUACUGCUGUUCUUGAGGAUUGCAGAGGAGACUGGAAUUCCCGGUGUAGCGGUGAAAUGUGUAGAGAUCGGGAGGAACACCGGUGGCGAAGGCGGGCUACGGGGCCGAUACUGACGCUGAUGCGCGAAAGCCAGGGGAGCGAACGGG